GGAAGGAAGCAAUCAGAGGGAGAGAACAUUGUUUCAGGACCCAAAGGCCCCUGCCUGGCAGAAGGCCUCUCAAAGUCCGGACUACUUGGAUGCGCUCGACUCCUUCCCAGCACUGACUCUGCCUAUACCCUGGGGCCCCCACUUGUUGGGCUGACCAUAACUGGCUUGGAGAGGCAAUGACAGGCCAGAACAAGCAGGGACAGAAUUAUCCCUUACCUGGAGGCUAGAUGGACUUCUUGACCUGAUGUUGCAAAGUGGCAAGGUGCAAGUCUCCUGAGACCUAGAAUCUAGGAACUCACACACAUUUCUACCCCAUUCUAUCAGCUAAAGCCAGUCAUAAGGCCAACCCACAUGCAAGCAAGAGGUUGAGAAAUAGAUUCCACCUCUUGCUGGGAAAAGCAGCAAAAUAAUUGCAAAGUGUCUUGUGGAACAGGAAGAAGAAGAGUGGCCAUCUUUGCAAUCUAUCAUACUUAUUGGAAGAACUGUUUACGUCAUAUUGAAUCAUCAAGUAUCACCAAGAAUUUGACAGAAGUGGGAGUGAAGGGAUUGACAAGCCAGGUGCUAAAAUCUUCAAAGCACGAGGAGGCACUGAGUGAUAUCCUCCAAUGCCAACAACUUCAAAUGCUUCAAAUACCUUUAUUGUUUCAUGAGUGAAUUUCCAUACAUUUCAUCAGUUAAAAGGAAUUUAUUUUUCAUGACUUCUUUGACUCAGUCACUUGUCAGUUCAGACUUGAUCCUAAGGAAGGAGCCUAAAACAUAGGG